rnacentral:lncRNA from 1 species
ACGUACUCCUUACACAAUAAUCAGUCUACAUACACGGAGAGUGCAUUAAGUUUCCUUUGUCUAUACAAAGGCAAGAAGCAUUUUAUUAAUUGAAGCUCAAAUUAAGUGCUGUAGAGGGUAGGUAGGCCAAAGUCAUUUCACAAAUGAAAUUGAGACCCAAAGAGUAAAUUAUUCACCUAGUCACAGACAAUUAAGGGGCAGACCUAAGAUUAAAAUUCAGAUCCUGUAUGGUCAAGAUGUCCACUGCACCACACUGUCUCUUUGGAAAACCUUCCAUUGCCUCAUUGAAUCCAUAUGGACUCUUGGCUUGUACAUUUGCCAGUUUUCUUCUACCUGGAGAAUUCUGAAUGUUUAAAUAUUUGCUAUAAAUGCUGCAGAUCUAUACUGUUAUCUAGGGAAUGAGAUCAUCAAAGCAUUAACUGGUCCAUCUUUGUUCCCAGGUCAUUUCUGUGUUCAGAAAGGUUAAGAUGAUGUUAUAAAACACAAGAGAUCUGGACAAGAGAUCUCCUAAACUCAUACAUUCUGAAGCUGCCCAUUUUAAGUCUUCCAGUGGGGAAGAUUGGACCAGGUUGUAGCUGCUACAUAGACUACAGCUUACUGGGGCCACAGGGAGAGUUGGGUGACAAGUGGACACCAAAGGGAGGUGACAACCCUGAAAAGGGAUUUGAGAUGGACAGAGAGAUGCACCUCCAGUCUAUACCUCGAUCCUAUCAGGCUACAUCUCAGACAUCUGUUUGUAUCAUAAAACUAAGGAAUCUUUACGUCUCCAGGCAGAUGAUCAACCCACCUCAUCAAAUACCUGAGUGACUAACACUCUCCCUUGUAAAAAAAGUAUAAAAUCCCCAGAACUGAUGUCGUCUGGGGGAACAGCUUUUCCAUUCAUGCUGUCCUCCUGGGGAACUGCUCCUCAUCUUGCUGUUCCACCUUGCUAGCCUCCUGGCCAUUCUCAACAUUACUUCCUAAAUUAAUAAAUUUCUCUUUUUGUUUUUAAGCUAAGUUUUG